CCGAUAUAACAACAAACGAGAUGAGAACUAUAAUGGUUAAUACAUAUUGGUGGCGCUUCUUACAACUCACAAAGUCGUAAGGAACAGUCCUGUGUAUAUCCAUAAAGUAUAAGAUAUUUUAGAAGGCCUGCC
rfam:Macellibacteroides sp. HH-ZS contig_00021, whole genome shotgun sequence.